rnacentral:rRNA from 1 species
GAUGAACGCUGGCGGCGUGCCUAAUACAUGCAAGUCGAGCGAACAGACGAGGAGCUUGCUCCUCUGACGUUAGCGGCGGACGGGUGAGUAACACGUGGAUAACCUACCUAUAAGACUGGGAUAACUUCGGGAAACCGGAGCUAAUACCGUAUAACAUGUUGAACCGCAUGGUUCAACAGUGAAAGACGGUCUUGCUGUCAUUUAUAGAUGGAUCCGCGCCGCAUUAGCUAGUUGGUAAGGUAACGGCUUACCAAGGCAACGAUGCGUAGCCGACCUGAGAGGGUGAUCGGCCACACUGGAACUGAGACACGGUCCAGACUCCUACGGGAGGCAGCAGUAGGGAAUCUUCCGCAAUGGGCGAAAGCCUGACGGAGCAACGCCGCGUGAGUGAAGAAGGUCUUCGGAUCGUAAAACUCUGUUAUUAGGGAAGAACAAAUGUGUAAGUAACUAUGCACGUCUUGACGGUACCUAAUCAGAAAGCCACGGCUAACUACGUG